rnacentral:ncRNA from 2 species
CUGAUUGAUCCUACCAGUGAUAUACGCUCGUCUCAAAGGUUAAGCCAUGCAUGUCUAAGUACAAGCUUCCUAGAAAGUGAAACCGCAUAAGGCUCAGCAUAACAGCUAUAAUUUACAAGAUCCUCAUCCAAACAGUUACUUGGAUAACUGUGGAAAAGCCAGAGUUAAUACAUGCAUUAUGCCGGGACUCUUGGCCUCCGGGUCGGCGGAACUGGUGCACUUAUUAGUUAAACCAAUCGCCUCCGGGCGCUUUGAGUUGAAAUCUGGAUAAGGAUGCCGAUCGUACGGUCGCUUGCGACUGACGACAGAUCUUUCAAAUGUCUGCCCUAUCAACUAUUGAUGGUAGUGUAGAGGACUACCAUGGUUGCGACGGGUAACGGGGAAUCAGGGUUCGAUUCCUGAGAGGGAGCCUGAGAAAUGGCUACCACAUCUAAGGAAGGCAGCAGGCGCGUAAAUUNNNNNNNNNNNNNNNNNNNNNNNNNNNNNNNNNNNNNNNNNNNNNNNNNNNNNNNNNNNNAAGUGGAGGGCAAGUCUGGUGCCAGCAGCCGCGGUAAUUCCAGCUCCACUAGCGUAUAUCAAAGUUGUUGCGGUUAAAACGUUCGAAGUUGAUACCCCGUCCAUACUCGCGUCCGUCGCGGGCGCCCGGCCUCUCGGUUGGGACCGUCCGUGUACGCGCUCGCGGCUGCGACUCACAAUGGUGUACCUGGGCGUUCUACUCCGUGACGGGUCAGGACUUGUCACCGCGACCUCGUCGGUCAAGGUCUUGUUCGACCCUGCUUCAUGGUGCCCGGGAACUCUCGUUUACCUUGAACAAAUUAGAGUGCUCAAAGCAGGCUAGUUCAAAGCGUCCGGUCCUCCGGGGCCGGCGUUGGCCGAGAAUAAUUUUGCAUGGAAUAAUGGAACAUGACCUCGGUCUGAGUGGUUUCGUUGGUUUGUAAUAGACCAAGAGGUAAUGAUUAACAGAAGUAGUCGGGGGCAUUGGUAUUACGGCGCGAGAGGUGAAAUUCGUAGACCGUCGUAGGACCCACAGAAGCGAAAGCGUUUGCCAAGGAUGCUUUCAUUAAUCAAGAACGAAAGUAAGAGGAUCGAAGGCGAUUAGAUACCGCCCUAGUUCUAACCGUAAACGAUGCCAAUUAGCAAUUGGGAGACGCUACCUACCUUCGGUGCUCUCAGUAGCUUCCGGGAAACCAAAAUCGGGUUCCG